AAUGAACGCUGGCGGCGUGCCUAACACAUGCAAGUCGGAUGUGCCGCAAGGUGCAUGGCAGACGGGUGAGUAACGCGUAGGGAAUCUACCUUUUUGUGGGGAAUAACGCUCCGAAGGGAGUGGUAAUACCGCAUGAGACCGUGGCCUGGGAUGGUUACGGUGAAACCUGGGGACCGCAAGGCCUGGGGCAAAAAGAGGAUCCUGCGUCUGAUUAGCUAGUUGGCGGGUAAUGGCCCACCAAGGCGACGAUCAGUAGCCGGCCUGAGAGGGUGAUCGGCCACACUGGAACUGAGACACGGUCCAGACUCCUACGGGAGGCAGCAGUGGGGAAUUUUGCGCAAUGGACGAAAGUCUGACGCAGCAACGCCGCGUGGGUGAUGAAGGUCUUCGGACUGUAAAACCCUGUCGUCAGGGACGAAGGUGGCAGUGUUAAUAGCGCUGUUACUUGACGGUACCUGGAGAGGAAGCCCCGGCUAACUCUGUGCCAGCAGCCGCGGUAA
rnacentral:rRNA from 1 species